rnacentral:rRNA from 18 species
UAAGCCAUGCAUGUCUAAGUAUAAGCGAGUAUACUGUGAAACUGCGAAUGGCUCAUUAAAUCAGUUAUGGUUUAUUUGAUGGUACCUUGCUACUUGGAUAACCGUAGUAAUUCUAGAGCUAAUACAUGCGAAAAGUCCCGACUUCUGGAAGGGAUGUAUUUAUUAGAUUAAAAACCAAUGCCCUUCGGGGCUCUUUGGUGAUUCAUAAUAACUAA